rnacentral:lncRNA from 1 species
GUGAUUUUUGCUGGUUCCCUCUGCCCACAAGCAACUUCAUCCGACGAUGGGCAUAAAUAUCAAUUUACGCCCAUUUUUUGUUGUUGUUGUUGUGUCUUGGGCAACAUCUGUUCCAAUGUGCCCAUAGGCAGAGGGCCCUGUCAAAGCCCAAGUGGAUCUGGAUCUGGGGCUGGCCUGUCCAUCAUCAUCGUUGCCCGAUUAUUGUUGUUGCACUGGGCCCUGUUCGUUGUCCCUGGGCCCUGGGCCCUGGGGUACGGCACGGUACGGUACGGGGGCCAAUCAGUCAGCGAGGCACUCAGCGAAGCGUGA